rnacentral:rRNA from 1 species
CCUGAGAUUCGAGCGGCGGACGGGUGAGUAACACGUAGGCAACCUACCCUUGAGAUUGGGAUAACUACCGGAAACGGUAGCUAAUACCGGAUACGACAUUCCUGCAUAAGUAAGAAUGUUAAAAGGCGGAUUUAUCUGCCGCUCAUGGAUGGGCCUGCGGUGCAUUAGCUAGUUGGUGAGAUAGUAGCUCACCAAGGCGACGAUGCAUAGCCGACCUGAGAGGGUGAUCGGCCACACUGGGACUGAGACACGGCCCAGACUCCUACGGGAGGCAGCAGUAGGGAAUCUUCCGCAAUGGACGCAAGUCUGACGGAGCAACGCCGCGUGAGUGAUGAAGGGUUUCGGCUCGUAAAACUCUGUUGUUAAGGAAGAACACUUGAGGUAGUAACUGGCCUUGAGAUGACGGUACUUAACCAGAAAGCCACGGCUAACUACGUGCCAGCAGCCGCGGUAAUACGUAGGUGGCAAGCGUUAUCCGGAAUUAUUGGGCGUAAAGCGCGCGUAGGCGGUAAAAUAAGUCUGAUGUGAAAGCCC